AUUUUAGAAAGUGUAGUAUCUUACACCCAAAUUUUGCUCAGUUAUCAAACACCGAACAAGCUACAUUCUUCUUACAAACAGAAAUUAUUGUUAAUCCACUGGCCGCUUUAGUUAGCCGUAUGUAUC